UACGAAGGGGGCUAGCGUUGUUCGGAAUCACUGGGCGUAAAGCGCACGUAGGCGGAUCUUUAAGUCAGGGGUGAAAUCCCGAGGCUCAACCUCGGAACUGCCUUUGAUACUGGGGAUCUCGAGUCCGGGAGAGGUGAGUGGAACUGCGAGUGUAGAGGUGAAAUUCGUAGAUAUUCGGAAGAACACCAGUGGCGAAGGCGGCUCACUGGCCCGGUACUGACGCUGAGAUGCGAAAGCGUGGGGAGCAAACAGG
rnacentral:rRNA from 1 species